GAAUAUUGGACAAUGGGCGAAAGCCUGAUCCAGCCAUGCCGCGUGUGUGAAGAAGGUCUUCGGAUUGUAAAGCAUUUUAAGUGGGGAGGAAGGGAAGUAGGGGAAUACCUGGCCGUUUUGAGGUUACGGCCAGAAUAGGCACCGCAUACCUCUGUGCCGGCAGCCGCGGUAAUACAGAGGGUGCAAGCGUUAAUCGGAAUUACUGGGCGUAAAGCGCGCGUAGGUGGUUCGUUAAGUUGGAUGUGAAAUCCCCGGGCUCAACCUGGGAACUGCAUCCAAAACUGGCGAGCUAGAGUAGGGCAGAGGGUGGUGGAAUUUCCUGUGUAGCGGUGAAAUGCGUAGAUAUAGGAAGGAACACCAGUGGCGAAGGCGACCACCUGGGCUCAUACUGACACUGAGGUGCGAAAGCGUGGGGAGCAAACAG
rnacentral:rRNA from 1 species